GAUGACAAAGCCUAUUACCCACUGCGUUACUCAGUGGCUCACUACGUCUUCCUGGCUUUUCCUCUAGAAAGUGUGUCAUUCACCCUGCCCUGAAGUUACUGGACCAGUGUUAAAAAAUUGGGACUCCUCUCAGGAGAGGAUCCCAAGAGAAUAUAACCAUGCAGGAGGUGACAAAAAUGGAAAAUCACUGACAUCUGUCUGGGCGAGGGCACAGAUGAAGAGUGAAAGCUUCUGAGCAGAAGAACAUGCAGAGUGCUUCCCCAGAGAAAAAGAGGAAGACAAUCUGAAGGGAAGUAUCAGCAGCCUUCCUACUCCCAUCCACCAAACUCAACCUCACUCAAGUCCAUCUACCCUGUGCUCUCUAAAUAAAGAAAUCAACAACUCAAGAACUUGAUAAAAACUGCGUCACGAACCAAACACCUCAUCUCAAAAACCUUAAGCUUCCUUUUGGUCCUAGAUGCAUGGAGAUCAUCUGGGAAUCUCACAGAAUUAGCAUCUUGCUGCACUAAGAGUCCAGCAUGGAUAUAUGUUAGUGAUUUGGCACGACAUGACCCCCUAACAAAAACCAACUCCUUCAGAGAGACCACCACCCACUCCAACACCAGAAGGAAAGCUGGCUUUAAAUUGUACCUUAUGGGUGAUUUCAGCCAUUUUUGAGGGUAAUUUUGAGCAUGUCGCUGUCUGAAACAGUUCCUUACUCCUAACUUUGAAUGAGACACAACUGUGCGAGACCUGCUUUUGCAUCAACAGAGAACACAACACGGUCCUUAGUGUGUUCUGACUGCCAUCCGAGAAUCCCACCAAAGCCCAGCUGUGAAAGCCAAGGCUGGCUCUCAGGUCAAACUGAAGCAAGAAGGGUUUGCUCUAUGGCCAUGUGGUCAGGAGGGGUGACCGCAGUUCAUAAGAGCUGAUCCCCCAAGUAUGAGACGUGGGGCCAUGGAGCAACACAAAACAGCCAUCGUCGCUGCCUAGUGAGGCCAGCCUGGGACUGCGAACACCGGCCAUUGCUUUUCAAGGCGGUGGAUAAUGGGAGCGGACACCACGCGCAGGUGCUUACCCGACAG